AACAAACGCUGGCGGCGUGCCUAAUACAUGCAAGUCGAACGGGGAAAGCUUUCGGGUGAGUACUAGUGGCGCACGGGUGAGUAACGCGUGGAUAAUCUGCCUUAGAGUGGGGGAUAACUAGUCGAAAGAUUAGCUAAUACCGCAUAAGACCACAAGAACUGCGGUUCAAGGGGUCAAAGGUUUUUCGCUCUAAGAUGAGUCCGCGUAAGAUUAGCUAGUUGGUGAGGUAAUGGCUCACCAAGGCGACGAUCUUUAACUGGUCUGAGAGGAUGAUCAGUCACACUGGAACUGAGACACGGUCCAGACUCCUACGGGAGGCAGCAGUAGGGAAUAUUGCACAAUGGAGGAAACUCUGAUGCAGCGACGCCGCGUGAGUGAUGAAGGCCUUCGGGUCGUAAAGCUCUGUCGCAAGGGAAUAACACAAUGAAUGUACCUUGCAAGAAAGGAUCGGCUAACUUCGUGCCAGCCGCCGCCGUAA
rnacentral:rRNA from 1 species